rnacentral:rRNA from 1 species
CCGAUGGCGAACAAGUACUGUGAAGGAAAGGUGAAAAGCACCCCGGUGAGGGGAGUGAAAUAGCACCUGAAACCGUCAGCCUACAAGCCGCUCGAGGGCUAUGAAUCACGCCUGAGAGCGUUCCUUUUGAAUGAUGAGUCCGCGAGUUACGGUAUGCAGCAAGGUUAAGCCGUGAGGUGGAGCCGAAGAGAAAUCGAGUGCGAAAUGCGCGUUAAGUUGCAUGCUGUAGACCCGAAGCGUUGUGAUCUACACAUGGUCAGG